GUGAGGAAUAUUGCGCAAUGGAGGCAACUCUGACGCAGCCAUGCCGCGUGCAGGAAGAAGGCGCUACGCGUUGUAAACUGCUUUUAACCGGGAAGAAACCCCAGGGCGUGUCCUGGGUUGACGGUACCGGAGGAAUAAGCACCGGCUAACUUCGUGCCAGCAGCCGCGGUAAUACGAAGGGUGCAAGCGUUAUCCGGAUUCAUUGGGUUUAAAGGGUGCGUAGGCGGAGCGUUAAGUCAGUGGUGAAAUCCUGCAGCUUAACUGUAGACUUGCCAUUGAUACUGGCGCUCUUGAGUGCGCUUGAAGUGGGCGGAAUGUGCCGUGUAGCGGUGAAAUGCUUAGAUAUGGCACAGAACACCAAUUGCGAAGGCAGCUCACUAAGGCGAUACUGACGCUGAGGCACGAAAGCGUGGGGAUCGAACAGGAUUAGAUACCCGUGUAGUCC
rnacentral:rRNA from 1 species